GAUAAAAUGGCACACAGGAAACCUGGAUUUCUCACACUUUAUUAAAAUAUUACAAAAUAUUAUUAAAUAAAAAAUGCAAAUGAUUAUACAACUGCUGAUGUGAAACAACUGUUUAGGUUAGCUAACCUAGAGAUUACUUUUUAUUUACAAUAGAAAAAGGGGUUUGAGAACUAGGAGGUCAUAUAAAACAGCAAAUAUGAAAACUGUAUUAGAAAAAUGUCAGGGUUUGGAGAGUAAAUUAUCUGUACACUUACUUUCAAAAAAUCAAGAAAAAAGGAAACAAAAUAGUAAAUUUUCAGAACUAACCUUUCCACAGUUCUUCUUUAAAUACCUGAGUUCCCUCAUAUAAUGAUAUUUAUGGCUGGAAAACUUAGAGUUAAUAUAUUUAAAUAGAUUCAAAUAUAAUCACAAUUCUUCAAAAAAACAUAAAAUGCUCCCAGACUGUUGAUGCAGUAAAUGAAUGCAUUCUGACAUUUUUCACUUUGAUUGAUGUUAACUCUGAUAAAGUCCUUCAAAAUAAACAUUUAUGACUCUUCAGUUCUCAAAGUGGCUAGAAUUAAAUUAUACGGAAACUCAAACGUUUCAGAAUAUUGCUCUUGUCAUCACACAACAUGAACGCAAGGACUGUCACUCUCAAAAUUCGCACAAAGCACAUACAGUAAAACAUUUCACACAACUAAGAUUGAAAAUAUUGCAACAUUUCAGACCACAAACUGAAACACAGUAACUGCACACCUGAAAACAAACAGCAAAAGGCCUAAAAAACAUACUGUAAACUUGACUUUUAAACCAUCAACAAAUAAAAGUGGAAGAGAAUGCAUAUGGCAUAUGCUCAGUGGCGUAGCGUCUGGGCAUUCAGUUAAUGCACGUGCAAAUGAGCCCGGGCCCGCCCCAGCUUUUAAUAAAAAAAAAAUUCAAUUUAAUUUUAAUUUGUGGCCGUAAUAAAUAUAUUUUUAUGCACAUCGUGUGUAGUAAUUUCUUAUUUCUCCGUAAUGUCUAAUUUCUCCGUAAUUUCUUGUUUGCGUUUUAUCAUUUUUUUUUGCACUCCGCGGCUGCCGUAGACUACUACGCCAUCAUUUAUUUACAUGUCGCAUUGUCGCGCCAAAAAAAAAAAAAAAAAAAAAAAAAAAAACGUGUUAGAGGUUAUCUACGUCAACAUUAAGGAUGUACAAUAUAAACAUAAAAGUGGGGCCUUAAAGAGAAAAGAGAAGGUGGAGAAGUUAGUCACGACACAACAAUUAUUUGCGGAGCACCAUGUCCCAAAACAGACUAUCGGGACUGGCAAUUCUUUCCAUCCAGAAUGCACGAAGCCUUGCAUUAAACACCACGUUCAUCGUGGAUGAAUUUGCCGAAAAGAAAGGCCCGAAGAAUGCUACUAAAAUGAAUCUGGACGUUGCAAUGCAGGAAAACAUCUGUGUAGGAGCUGCCAACAAACUUGAACAUUUGUAUCCUGAACAGAGCUUCUGGUCCUUGACCGUUCUUCAUCACAGCUAGUGUCUGGUCAUUCCACAACACUGGACAACUGAUGUGAAGAGAAAUAAACUGCAUGCUUCAUAGCUUUCUCCUGGUGGAGAAUCUCUUUGGGUUAAGGACAAGCACAGCUGUUCAAUGGCAAUGUACACGGCAGCUGACAGUCGUCACGUGACUGUAGCUAGCUACAUACUCUGUUUUGUCAUCAACUCCUUUAGCAACGGUUUCAACAGCAUGUCUCAACAACAGCCUUUCACACCACUGGUGAUAAUUAUGAUUGAAUGAACAUUUCAAUCCUGAGCAAAGGAAUAAUGAAGCUGUGAAAGAGGGCAUUUACACCGAGGACAAUAAAAGGGAGUUAAUAAACAAAAUGAGUUUUUAUAUCACUAAAAUUAAAUGCUUGAUGGGCAAAA